rnacentral:tRNA from 1 species
UAGCUCAGUUGGUUAGAGCAGUUGAAUCAUAAUCCAUGUGUCGGGAGUUCAAAUCUCUC